rnacentral:lncRNA from 1 species
CCUGGACUGGUGAGGUCUGCAGGCCUCUGGGCUGAGCCCGACUCCUCUUCAGCCUCAUUAACCCAGAAAGGGGUCUGGAGAGGUGAAUUUAGGCAGAUUCCAACGAGCAAGAACUGAUCAUCGUUCCUGCUUACCGCUGGUUGUUCUGGACAAGAAGUGAUAGAACUGUCAGAAACUCAAGGCUUGAUAAGUAUUUUGAAGAAAGGAAAAACUCCAGUUAUUCUUUGAGGUCACAGCAUCCUUUGGGUCUGAGCAACUAUCACAGAAAACACGACUGCUCUGUUCCUGUCGCGCACAGCUGCCCCAAGAUGAACUGGAACUAGUAGCUUUUUGUUACAAACUGUGUUCAGGCAUUUUUUGCUUAGUUGAGGGUUUGUUUUUUGCUUUUGGCAGAUGAUCCCAUGCACAAAAAUAAUCCCCAAAUCACCAUUUUUACCUUUAUCCAUUAUGAACUGGGCAUGUUUCAAGCAUCCAAAAUCCAACUUUUUGAAAUGAUAUUUCUAAAUUCGUAGAUCUUAAAAAAUCAAAGUAAGGAGUUGUUGGACUUUAAAAAAAAAUUUAUUUAUAUUUGUCAGGAAAAUAACCCAGAGAGGGAAAGAAGGAGAAGAAAAACAUAAAGGAGAAAAAUCAUGCCUUCUCCAUAGCUCUCAUUCCAAGCUUGAAAAACUAUUUUAAAAAUUAUGAAUUUGCUUUAUCAAAUUGAAACUAAAAGAAAAGCAAUUCCUGCCCCCAAAAUAAGUAAUGAACCAGGGGAAGAGGGUGAUGCUGAGGACAUAGAUGUGUGCCUUCUGCUCAGGCUCAGGUGCUCUCUACAAGGUCACAGUGACCCAUUGAGGCACAUUAGCUUCCUUCUAGACUCUUGGUCAGUUUCUCCAGCCUGCCUGCAAAGAAAUGAAGAGGGAGCACUGGCAAGAGGGUCUGCUGAAACUCAGAGGUCCCAUGCCCCCGUGCCCCACUAAGUAUUCCAUGAUGCCAGUUUCAGAAGAGACAGGAGCCCAAUCUAUGCCAACUGCUUGAAUAGUCAUCCCUGGGCCCCUCUCCAGAUGCUUAGAAAAACAACUCGUUUCAGAAUCUUACCAAGGGUAGGUGUGAAGUUCACUGCCCAUCCCAUUCAGAAAGGAUCCCUUCUUUCUGGAAGCUGCGAUCAAUUGGGCCGCCAUCUUCAGCAUUCACGAACUCAGGCAGAACCCAGCAAUUGCUGCCUGGUGAGGCCAGUCCUUCAUUAAAUCAGAGCCCAUGACCUCACUUUCAGGCCCUUAACUAAGGAGCAGGCAUCCAAAAGCAAAAACCUUCAUUUGGAAGAAAAUAAAUUUUUCAUGAAACUUUUUUUUUUCUUUUUGAGACGGAAUUUCACUGUUGUUGCCCAGGCUGGAGUGCAAUAGCGUGAUCUUGACUCACUGCAACCUCCGCCUCCUGGGUUCAAGCGAUUCUCCUGCCUCAGCCUCCCAAGUAGCUGGGAUUACAGCCAUGCACCACCAUGCCUGGCUAAUUUUGUAUUUUCAGUAGAGACGGGGUUUUGCCAUGCUGGCCAGGCUGGUCUCGAACUCCUGACCUCAGGUGAUCCACCCGCUUCGGCCUCCCGAAGUACUGGGAUUACAGGCGUGAGCCAUCGCUCCCGGCCCUGAAACAUUUUUUAAAUGCAAAGAAAGUGCCAAAAUGUUUUCAGAUUUGAGGCUCAAAUGUGGUUCGUGAAACAUAACCAGCUGACCACUGGAACUUGAAGUUCGUGUCUGGCAUGUGAAGUGCUCUAGGCCCCGCCCAGCAGCCCCUCUCUCUCAAGUCAGACAAGGUUCUAGAGAAUGGUCCAUGAAUACCUUGAAGAGAUCCUCGAGUCCACGCUGGCUGCAAGAUACUCAUUAAUAACAAGUCCACGGGGAAGCAAAUCCUCCAAGACUGUCAGGCUGGCUCACUGCUUGCCCCACCUCCCGGCCCUUACCUGGGGGUGGGGACUUACGAAGGGACUGAGAUCGUGACUCUGUUACCGUCUGACUGAUUAAAUCCAGGUGCUCUGUUUACUUUGGAGUGCAAAAAAACACACCAAGAGCUUAAAACUUACAUUUACAGACAGGAAAUGGCCCCCCAGGGACACGGAUGUCUGAAACCUGAAGACCAAGACAGGCUUCUUCUCAAACAGGGAAUGUUUCUUCCAGGCUGGGGCCCAGGCCUGUGCCUCAUGAUGGAAAGGGGACCUCGGCCUCCUCACCUGGGACAGUUCAAGGCUCCCUGAGUUAUAAAUUACAUAUUUGAAAUGUUCUUAGUCUGUCCUCACUCCUUCUAUUUAAAAGCAGAUGGUUUAAACUUAAUCCCAGCCAUGCUGUCUCAAAAGAGAUGGUCCUUGUAAACUGGCCAUUCAAAUCUCUCUGAAAACAUAUUCUGAAUGCACAGCAAGAACAAGGGUGGUAUCAGGGCAGCCAGAGAGGGUAGCUGGAAAAGGGAAGAUGCGGAGACAAUAACAGCCUCAUUAAACCUAAUCACUUUCAUUGCUUAUUGAGACACGGAGAUUGGAAGGGGAAUUUGUGGAGGGGUUUUCUGAGUCCUUUGUACUAAAGUGAUCCC